ACGAAACAUGCUCGCGCUGUCAGAUAAGUCGGACCAAAACAAAGUCAGACUAUAACAAAGUCGGACCAAAACAAAGUUGGACUAUUACAAAGUUGGACUACCGAUAAAUAGAAUAUAGCUCGGUCAAUUUAAUAAUGAGCAGAUAAUUAUCUGCGAAAGUGUUUGAUCCUAAAAGAACACAACCUUGGUCCGGAAAAACGAUUGCUGCAACCACUGGCAACACAGAAUAUGCGAUACCGGAAUUUCUGUGCGUGCGUACAGAGAGAUGAUCAGGUCAGAUGUUACAAUUCACUUCACCUGCACCAGAUGCAAAAGAAGCCAAGAAGAAACAAUCAGUGUUUUUGAGGGGGUGGAGUGGUGGUAAUCUGAUAUACGGUUCGAGGGCUGAUUUUACAUGAUGGUACUAUUAUAUAUAU